rnacentral:rRNA from 1 species
AGCAGCCGCGGUAAUUCCAGCUCCAAUAGCGUAUAUUAAAGUUGCUGCAGUUAAAAAGCUCGUAGUUGAAUUUCGGGAUCAAUAUGUUGGUCGUGCCUCGGUACGUACUAGCUUAUUGGUUUCUCCCUUCUGACGAACCAUGAUGUCAUUUAUUUGGUGUUAUGGGAAAUCAGGACUGUUACUUUGAAAAAAUUAGAGUGUUUAAAGCAGGCUCACGCUUGAAUACAUUAGCAUGGAAUAAUGAAAUAGGACGUUUGAUUCUAUUUUGUUGGUUUCUAGGAUCGACGUAAUGAUUAAUAGGGAUAGUUGGGGGCAUUAGUAUUCAAUUGUCAGAGGUGAAAUUCUUGGAUUUAUUGAAGACUAACUACUGCGAAAGCAUUUGCCAAGGAUGUUUUCAUUAAUCAAGAACGAAAGUUAGGGGAUCGAAGACGAUCAGAUACCGUCGUAGUCUUAACCAUAAACUAUGCCGACUAGGGAUCGGAUGAUGUUAAUUUUUAAUGACUCAUUCGGCGUAC